AACGAACGCUGGCGGCGCGCCUAAUACAUGCAAGUCGAGCGAGAAGACGUAGCAAUACGUUUGUAAAGCGGCGAACGGGUGAGGAAUACAUGGGUAACCUACCCUCGAGUGGGGAAUAACUAGCCGAAAGGUUAGCUAAUACCGCGUACGCUCCUUGGACUUCGGUUCAGGGAGGAAAGCGAUACCGUGGGUAUCGCGCUCUUGGAUGGGCCCAUGUCCUAUCAGCUUGUUGGUGAGGUAACGGCUCACCAAGGCUUCGACGGGUAGCUGGUCUGAGAGGACGAUCAGCCACACUGGCACUGCGACACGGGCCAGACUCCUACGGGAGGCAGCAGUAAGGAAUAUUGCGCAAUGGGCGAAAGCCUGACGCAGCGACGCCGCGU
rnacentral:rRNA from 1 species